UCGCCUCCUAAAAGGUAACGGAGGCGCUCAAAGGUUCCCUCAGAAUGGUUGGAAAUCAUUCAUAGAGUGUAAAGGCAUAAGGGAGCUUGACUGCGAGACCUACAAGUCGAGCAGGGUCGAAAGACGGACUUAGUGAUCCGGUGGUUCCGCAUGGAAGGGCCAUCGCUCAACGGAUAAAAGCUACCCCGGGGAUAACAGGCUUAUCUCCCCCAAGAGUUCACAUCGACGGGGAGGUUUGGCACCUCGAUGUCGGCUCAUCGCAUCCUGGGGCUGUAGUCGGUCCCAAGGGUUGGGCUGUUCGCCCAUUAAAGCGGUACGCGAGCUGGGUUCAGAACGUCGUGAGACAGUUCGGUCCCUAUCCGUCGUGGGCGUAGGAAAUUUGAGAGGAGCUGUCCUUAGUACGAGAGGACCGGGAUGGACAUACCUCUGGUGUACCAGUUGUCGUGCCAACGGCAUAGCUGGGUAGCUAUGUGUGGACGGGAUAAGUGCUGAAAGCAUCUAAGCAUGAAGCCCCCCUCAAGAUGAGAUUUCCCAACUUCGGUUAUA
rnacentral:rRNA from 1 species